UGGGGAAUAUUGCACAAUGGAGGGAACUCUGAUGCAGCGACGCCGCGUGAACGAAGAAGGCUUUCGAGUCGUAAAGUUCUUUUAUAUGGGAAGAUAAUGACGGUACCAUAAGAAGAAGCCCCGGCUAACUACGUGCCAGCAGCCGCGGUAAUACGUAGGGGGCUAGCGUUGUCCGGAAUCACUGGGCGUAAAGGGUUCGCAGGCGGAAAUGCAAGUCAGGUGUAAAAGGCAGUAGCUUAACUACUGUAAGCAUUUGAAACUGCAUAUUUUGAGAAGAGUAGAGGUAAGUGGAAUUUUUAGUGUAGCGGUGAAAUGCGUAGAUAUUAAAAAGAAUACCGGUGGCGAAGGCGACUUACUGGGCUCAUUCUGACGCUGAGGAACGAAAGCGUGGGUAGCAAACAGG
rnacentral:rRNA from 1 species